rnacentral:rRNA from 1 species
UACGUAGGAUGCAAGCGUUGUCCGGAAUUAUUGGGCGUAAAGAGCGCGCAGGCGGUUUGUCAAGUCAGAUGUGAAAUAGCCGGGCUUAACCCGGAGGGGUCAUUCGAAACUGGCAGACUAGAGUGCAGCAGAGGAUAGCGGAAUUCCCGGUGUAGUGGUGAAAUGCGUAGAUAUCGGGAGGAACACCAGUGGCGAAGGCGGCUAUCUGGGCUGCAACUGACGCUGAGGCGCGAAGGCUAGGGGAGCAAACAGG